rnacentral:rRNA from 1 species
CGUCAAAUCAUCAUGGCCCUUAUGCCCAGGGCUACACACGUGCUACAAUGGCCGGUACAACGGGUUGCGAACCCGCGAGGGGGAGCCAAUCCCGAAAAGCCGGUUCCAGUUCGGAUCGCAGGCUGCAACUCGCCUGCGUGAAGCCGGAAUCGCUAGUAAUCGCGGAUCAGAAUGCCGCGGUGAAUACGUUCCCGGGCCUU